CAAGCCUGAUGCAGCGACGCCGCGUGAGGGAUGACGGCCUUCGGGUUGUAAACCUCUUUCAGUAGGGAAGAAGCGAAAGUGACGGUACCUGCAGAAGAAGCACCGGCUAACUACGUGCCAGCAGCCGCGGUAAUACGUAGGGUGCGAGCGUUAUCCGGAAUUAUUGGGCGUAAAGAGCUCGUAGGCGGUUUGUCGCGUCUGUCGUGAAAGUCCGGGGCUUAACCCCGGAUCUGCGGUGGGUACGGGCAGACUAGAGUGCAGUAGGGGAGACUGGAAUUCCUGGUGUAGCGGUGGAAUGCGCAGAUAUCAGGAGGAACACCGAUGGCGAAGGCAGGUCUCUGGGCUGUAACUGACGCUGAGGAGCGAAAGCAUGGGGAGCGAACAGGAUUAGAUACCCUGGUAGUCCAUGCCGUAAACGUUGGGCACUAGGUGUGGGG
rnacentral:rRNA from 1 species